AUUGAACGCUGGCGGCAUGCCUUACACAUGCAAGUCGAACGGUAACAGGUCUUCGGACGCUGACGAGUGGCGAACGGGUGAGUAAUACAUCGGAACGUGCCCGAUCGUGGGGGAUAACGAGGCGAAAGCUUUGCUAAUACCGCAUACGAUCUACGGAUGAAAGCGGGGGAUCUUCGGACCUCUCGCGGACGGAGCGGCCGAUGGCAGAUUAGGUAGUUGGUGGGAUAAAAGCUUACCAAGCCGACGAUCUGUAGCUGGUCUGAGAGGAUGAUCAGCCACACUGGGACUGAGACACGGCCCAGACUCCUACGGGAGGCAGCAGUGGGGAAUUUUGGACAAUGGGCGAAAGCCUGAUCCAGCCAUGCCGCGUGCAGGAUGAAGGCCUUCGGGUUGUAAACUGCUUUUGUACGGAACGAAAAGCCUCUUUCUAAUAAAGAGGGGUCAUGACGGUACCGUAAGAAUAAGCACCGGCUAACUACGUG
rnacentral:rRNA from 1 species